GACGAACGCUGGCGGCGCGCUUAACACAUGCAAGUCGAGCGAGAACCAGGCCUUCGGGCCUGGGGAAAGCGGCGAACGGGUGAGUAACACGUGGGUAACCCACCCUUGGUACCGGGAUAGCCCGGGGAAACCCGGAUUAAUACCGGAUGGCCCAACAGCUCUUCGGGGCGGUUGGAAAAGGUAGCUUCGGCCUCCGACCAAGGACGGGCCCGCGGCGGAUUAGCUUGUUGGCGGGGUAACGGCCCACCAAGGCGACGAUCCGUAGCUGGUCNGAGAGGACGAUCAGCCACACUGGGACUGAGACACGGCCCAGACUCCUACGGGAGGCAGCAGUGGGGAAUCUUGCGCAAUGGGCGAAAGCCUGACGCAGCGACGCCGCGUGCGGGAAGAAGGCCUUAGGGUUGUAACCGCUUUCAGGAGGGACGAAGCCACUCGGGUUAAUAGCCCAGAGGGUGACGGUACCUCCAGAAGAAGCCCCGGCUAACUACGUGCCAGCCGCCGCCGUAAU
rnacentral:rRNA from 1 species